rnacentral:rRNA from 1 species
CCCUUAGAUGUUCUGGGCCGCACGCGCGCUACACUGACACACUCAACAAGCUUAUAACCUUGUCCGAGAGGUCUGGGAAAUCUUUGAAUAUGUGUCGUGAUGGGGAUAGAUCGUUGCAAUUCUCGAUCUUCAACGAGGAAUUCCUAGUAAACGCAGUUCAUCAGACUGCAUUGAUUACGUCCCUGCCCUUUGUACACACCGCCCGUCGCUACUACUGAUUGGGUGUUCAAGCGAGGUCCUUGAAUGCUAACAUGAUUUUCUUUUGAUAAUUCUGCGUUCGAAGAAGAGGAUCGAGCUUUUGCAUCUAGAGGAAGUAAAAGUCGUAACA